AGUGACAUCACAAGUGAGGUGGUUAUAGGUCUUUUGCACAAAAAAAUAUCAGAAUAAUUUCCUGUAUAAAAACUUUAAAAGUCAUUCUACAAUCAUAUUUCAUAAGUUUCUCCUUGAUAUAAUAGAAAAUCAUUGGAUAGAAAAACCAUUUGAUGAAAUAAAAAAAAAUCUAAGAACAGAUGGAUAUGAUGUUGUGUAUUAUGUCCCAUAGUGAACAAAAUACUGAACAAUGAACAAUGUAAUUAUCAACCACAUAGUCGCUAAUGGUUAUACCCCAUCUAUGGUAAUGAGACUCUACAGAAACAUACAGACUAUAAAUAAUGUACAAGUGCAAUCCAACACAACUAAACCAGCAAGAAUAUCAAUAGAAUAUGACUCCUCAUUACAUCAUAUAAAGUCAAAACUUAAAGAUGAAAUAAAUAUAAAACUUACUUACAUGAGGCAGAGAAAUGUAUAUGACAGACUGCGUAACGAUAAAACUAAAUAAUAGCAUGGUAUGUUUCCAGGAGUAUAGCUAAUCCUAAUGAAAGAUAACAACACAGGAAAUGAAGAAAUAUAUAUAUUGGAAGUACAAAAAGGAAUCAAAAGUCAAG
rnacentral:lncRNA from 1 species